rnacentral:rRNA from 1 species
AUGCAGCAGGACAAAGCUCGUCUCGUGCACGAUGCAGCAGGACCGAGCUCGUCUCGUGCACGAUGCAGCAGGACUGACCUCGUCCCCCUCUCGUUGCUGCAGGACCGAGCUCAUCUCGCGCUUGGGGCAGCAGGAUGGACGUCACCAUCGCCUCCGUUCGUCUUCUCCCGCGCCGGCGCCGUCGAGGCCGAGUCGUUCCACUUCCUGCUCUGGCAGGUCUGCGCGGCCGCGUGCGGGGCGUUCAUCUUCUCCCGCGCCGAUGUCGUCGAGGCCGAGGCGUUCGACUUCCCGCUCUGGCAGGUCUGCGCGACCGCGUGCGGGGUGGGGCCGGCCGAGGUGGCGUCCCUCGACGGGCACACCAGGCUGCGCGCCGCCGCGGCGGCUGGCAGGACCGGCGCCGGCGUGGCCAACCCCACGGCCGUGGCCGUCACCCACGUGCUCCACAACAAGCACGAGUUCCCCUUCACCGCCGGCACCUGCGACCUCGUCCUGCUGUCUCUUGGCGGGAACGCCGCCGCCGGGUCGGGCGCCCGCGGUCGUCCUCCAGCCUCCUGCGCAUCGCCGGCACGUGCCAGGCCGACAUGCACCUGCUGCAGUUCGUCAAAAAAUAAUCGUACCAUCGUCACGUACGCGGGGCUAAACAGGACUGUGGGUGUCUGUGCUUUUCAGGUGGACCAAGCCGUAUCAAUGGCGUUCGGAGAGAAUGGAGCAACCAACUACAUUCGCAUCCAGGGUAACGGCAUUACCGCUGGAGCGACGACGGAGGCGGCCAUGGCGGAGCGGGGGGUGGAGUCGGUCCUGUUCCGGGGGAAGAAGCUGAUGCCGCAGACCAACGACGAGCGGCUGGAUGGCGUGGUGGAGCAGCUGGGCAUCUCUGGCGUCGUAGGAAACCCCACCGCGGGGCUGGUGCAGGGAGUGGCCGACCAUCCCACCCUGCUGAAGCCGCAGGGCGUCUCUGCCAAGUCCAUGGUUGGCGAGUCCAAGGCCGUCUCUGUCCAGGCCUCCGUGGUCGAGGUGAACUGCACUAACAUCAAUGUCUGCCCUGAACUGUUUGCAUCUAAAAGCUCUUGUGACGAUGGAAAGUCUACCUCCAAGGGACCAAAAAAGAAAAUCGGUCCUAAAAGAUCUUCGCCUGACACAUCUACUCACGAUGAUAGUGAAGUAUAUCAAGCUGGUGCUAAAAGAAGGACUCUUAACCCCUCUAUUCCUCAUAAGGAGAGCUUGGAAUCUGAAGAUUUUUCUGCAAAAACAUCUUGCUUAAUACCUGAGUCCCCGGCCCUUGUUGCUACAGAUCUUAAGAAGGCCAACAAUUGGACCAGGAAACAAAAUCAUAGAUAUGGUAUGCUUGGUCUAGACUACAACCGUUUGUUGUCUUGCUUCGGACAGUCUUUCAUUGUGGUAAAGACAUAUGAGAAGCAAAGGGGAUAA